UACGUAGAAGACUAGUGUUAUUCAUCUUUAAUAGGUUUAAAAGGGGUACCUAGACGGUAUAAUUAGUCUUAAACAGGAUACGAUUAUACUAGAGUUAUAUAUGAGGAGGUGAGUAUUUAUGCAGUAGAGUUGAAAUUCGUUGAUAGCAUAACGACUGGUAACGGCGAAAGCAACCUUUUAUCUAAUAACUGACGUUGAGGGACGAAAGGCUC
rnacentral:rRNA from 1 species